GAUGAACGCUGGCGGCGUGCCUAAUACAUGCAAGUCGAGCGAACAGAUGAGGAGCUUGCUCCUCUGACGUUAGCGGCGGACGGGUGAGUAACACGUGGAUAACCUUCCUAUAAGACUGGGAUAACUUCGGGAAACCGGAGCUAAUACCGGAUAAUAUAUUGAACCGCAUGGUUCAAUAGUGAAAGACGGUUUUGCUGCCACUUAUAGAUGGAUCCGCGCCGCAUUAGCUAGUUGGUAAGGUAACGGCUUACCAAGGCAACGAUGCGUAGCCGACCUGAGAGGGUGAUCGGCCACACUGGAACUGAGACACGGUCCAGACUCCUACGGGAGGCAGCAGUAGGGAAUCUUCCGCAAUGGGCGAAAGCCUGACGGAGCAACGCCGCGUGAGUGAUGAAGGUCUUCGGAUCGUAAAACUCUGUUAUUAGGGAAGAACAAAUGUGUAAGUAACUAUGCACGUCUUGACGGUACCUAAUCAGAAAGCCACGGCUAACUACGUG
rnacentral:rRNA from 1 species